GUGCCUCCUCAAGGAAUCCGCGCCGCGCGCGCGUGUGCGGCCGGGCCGCGUCCCGGUCCGAUCGAGUGUUUCUGCGUCCCCUCGUCCUGCCCCCCUUCCCCGAGUGGUACCGGGGGUCUCUUCCCCGUGCGGGUAGCUAUGGAGCAGGCGCUCAGGUCUCUCGCCCGCGGGGCCGUGGGGCUGCCGUCCGCCACCUGCAGCCGCUGCUUUGGGAAGGGCCCCGCGCGGGUCCGGCAGCCCUGGCGGUUCUGCACGGCUGCGGCGCGAGGCGGGGACCGAGCCCGCAUCUCCUGUGAAGGUCUGCGGGACUCAGGCUGGGGCUCAGCGAGACGCGAGGUCUCGAAGGGCGGGAGGAGGCCGGACGGAAGGGCUCUGUCCAUCGAGAGGACGAGGGGCAGCGAGAUCCUGUUCGGCGUAGCGCCGUGCUCCAUGGCCCUGUCCCGGGCCAGGAGGGAUCUGUUCAGGCUGUUCCUCAAGCGGAGCGGCGGCCCUCAGCGUGCGAUCAGCAGCGAGUUCGUGCUGCAGGCCGCGGCGCGCGGGAUUCCCGUGCUCUACGUCGGGAGGAGGGAGCUGGAUGCGUUGUGCGGGGGCCGCGUCCACCAGGGAGUGUGCUUGGAGGCCACUCCGCUCCGCUUCAAGAGGCUGGAGGAGGCCGAAGAGCCCGGUUUGGGGGAUGGAGAGAGCCCGAAUCGGCAGCUGCUGUGGCUGGUGCUGGAGCAGAUCCAGGACCCCAUGAACCUGGGGGCACUGCUGCGCUCUGCGUAUUUCUUGGGGGCGGACAGAGUGGUGACGAGCCGGAGGAACAGCUGCCCCUUGACUCCAACAGUGAGCAAAGCAAGUUCUGGAGCUAUGGAAGUCUUUGAUGUCUACAGCACAGAUGAUCUCAGGAGCUUUUUGAAGGCUAAAGCUGCAGAAGGCUGGGAAGUUGUGGGAACAGUGAGCCAGUCUGAAACUGUGGAAAAUGUUCCUGUCAUCAGCUGCUUGGAGUUUCGGUGGAACAAACCCAUUAUUUUAGUGAUAGGUAGUGAAGGUGAUGGCCUUUCCCUGGAGACGCAGCUCCUGUGCCACCAGAUGCUGGUCAUCCCCUCUGGCAGGGCACUGCACCCAGGCAUCGAGUCACUGAACGUCUCCGUAGCCACUGGCAUUCUCCUGCACUCCAUCUGCAGCCAAAAGCUGAGGCACGGUGAUUGAUUUUUGUCCUGGCACAUGGUGGAAGUUGCCCAGCCAAGAUCUUUGAUGGCAAGAAACUGCUCAGUGUUCCAUGGCUGUGUUCAGUAUGGAUAUGGUAGUACUCCUUCCAGGCUCGGCACCAUCUCAGCAAGUUUCAGGUGCUUAAACAUGAGGAGACCCUUCAUUAAGGUUGCUUGUGUUUGGGAAAGCCACGUGCCCUCUGCCCACGCUCAGCCACAGCGGCUCAUCCCCAACAGAUCCCAGGAAAUGCUCUUGACCAUCUGCUGCUGCUCUAAGAAACGAGUGUUUACCACCAGAAACAUGGGAGGUAUCUGGGAUAGAUCACAGCAGAGUGCAAGGGCAGAGUGCAGCCACUUAAGCAAAGCCGUGCCACAGUCACCAUGAGCCUGGAGUCGGAAGCUGCUCAGUCAGCGGCAGCCUCCUCCCGUGGCACCAGGAGGCUGCAGCCUGCAGUGAGCACAGCAAGACCUGGCGCAGUAGGGAAUACGUGGAUGGACACAGGGAUUUUGCUGUGGCCAAGCAGUAGGGAUGACUGGUGUCAUGCACCUCAUCUUAAGGGACAGGGUACGGAAGAGCAAUGAAAUGGGCUGCAUGGGGAAGCUAGCAGUGGGCGAGGAAAACUUCCUCAUGCUCAGUGGAUGCCAUCUAGAACCAACCCUGGGAAUCAGCUCCUUGCUCAGUGCCCUCUGCCAUGGAGGCAGCAAAGCUGAGGGCUGCCUCACUGCAGUUCUGUGUAGGCAAUUUUGCUCUAAGUUCAUUUAGGUGAGCUGUCUUUAGUUCCUUGCUCCGCUCGCUGUAAUUGCUUCUUCAGAGUGAUGCUACACCGCAGGCGUGGGGCUGCUGCCUGGCUGGCCUUCCAUAGACAGACCAAGGAAGGUGAAGCUGCAGUCAUCAGCAGCUUCUGGAAACAUUCCCAGUCCUUGGCGUAUUCAUCAGGAUUGUUACAAUUCUGCUGCCACAAAGAGGGAAGUAUCUUUUUCUUCAUGUUAAAAAGGAAGAGGAAAAAAACUGUUUGCAGAGGUGCAUUCACUCUCUUCCACUCUUGCUAUGCUCGGUGAUCAAAUGGGACCGGUCUUUCUCAUCUUUCUGCUCCUCAUUUGCCUCCUGCAUUUCUGCCACCCUUUGAAUUCUCCCUCUUAAGUGGUGUGUUGCCUUCCUGGGAGCUCCUGCAGCCCUGCCUGUGUGAACAAGGAUGUGAUAAUACUGGGUCCUGAAGCUGCAAAUGCAGAACGAACCAAGGAGUAAAAGAGUUGACAAGACAAGCGGUGGUGGGAAAUGGAGGGAAGACAGUGAAAAAGGUUAUAAUAAAUAAUAAGAAAUGUUGCAUGGGCCAAAGGAAUAAUAGAUCAGCGAUGGAAAGACUCUAAAAGCUGCUGAGGGUUAUUUAUUGAUGGACAUUGUUUAAAAAAAAAAAAAUUCAGUGACAGUUUUCCUUCGUGUUCACAAAGGCAGAUGGCAGGGCAGGUGCCAGAAUGAAAGAUAAAUUUCCUUUUGCAUAAAGAAGAAAUAUUGAAGGAAACUGAGCAGAGGUGAUGGAGAAAUUAGAGCAUUGAAAGACCCUGAAAGCAUGUGGUCCAUGUCAGCCCUCUCUCAGGAUUUUCACCUGAGUCAGCAGAAAGCAGGAAAAACUGUUGCGGGAAAUGAGAACCUCUUUGAAGACCAGUAAUGGAGAGGUUCCUGCAAGUGUCAUGUCCAGAGGUCUGAGGAGGGCUUUCCAGGAAUUAAAAUUGGUGGGGCAGAAGGUUCCUCGUGUGGCUGAGUGGCCGAUGUGCAUCAUCAUCUGGGACUGCAGUAGAGAAGUAGAAGUUAUGAAUGUAAUUAAGGGGAACCAUCAAAGAUUCAGAAAUUGGAAGCCGGACCAGUAACAGGAGAAAACUGACGGAGGGUUUGUGAGGAGUUUGUGCAAAUCAUGAGCCGGGGGGAGCCAAGAGAUACAACUUGUGCAGUGGCAGCGAAGGUUGGGUGUAAUACAGUCAAGAUAACAUGGAGAGGAAGUGAUGAGUGUGGGACAUGGAAGUGCCUGGUGGAGCUCUGAGCUGGUGGUGCACACAGCUGCUCUGAGGAUGCUUUGGUUUCUGUUGCCCUGGCUGUGAGCGGGGAGGUUGGGGAGUCUGUGGGGGGAUCUGUAGGCACCGAGGGGGGGGUUACAGAAUGAAUGUAACUGAGGUACAGAAGAGGCAUGAGGAAGGGAACAAACCCUGCAGGAGCCGAGGGCACCUGGCCUGGCUGGGGAACCUGCAGGGUGGGUCCAACCCAAGGCCAGCAGCUGUGCUUCUGCAACAUGUGCUAGGGAGCUCUAAUUAACAGCUCUCCAAUCUUCCCUGCAGUAGGUGAGUGCAAAUUAGAUGGCCGUUGUCAAACACGGUGAAUCAGACCUGCCAACUUGCUUAUCUGAAAGGGGAGGUUUUUUUUUGGUUUUUCUUUUUUCGGAGGGGUAACAGCCUCACUGUGGGUCUCCCCUUAAUGGGCAUUCAUCCGAUGUCCAACCAGAAUUAAAUCACUCAUCGUGUUGCUCACAGUCAGCAACGGGGGCUGACAGGAAGGAUCUGCGGGCUCUGCUCACUGCGUGUCCUCGUGUCUUUGUUUCAGGAAAGCCGCCUGCCCUUCUACAGCAGAGGAACGCGGCAGCCUGGAUCCACUUUUGCACACACAAACCCCACCCCGUCGGAUGAAACCCCUCACAAAGUGCCAUCAGGUGAUGGCCACGACGGGGUUAUGUGGGGGCCUUCAUCAGAGCUCAGCUGGGGGUCUGCAAUAUAAAGAGGGGAUGAGGAGGGAGGUUCUCCAGCACAGCAGAGCUCCUGCUGCUUGAGGGCUGCCCGGCCCGCGUCAGACCUCAAACAGAAGGAAGCGAGGAAAAGACGACGGAACGCGUCCCCUCGGAAGCAGGGCAUGCUCGCUGCAGGGCUGCUCCCCGACGGCCGCAGCAGCAAAGCGCUCAGGUUCCGCCUCGUGCAUUGCUCGAGUCGCGCGCUGCGCUCCGCGCACGAGGCGCCGUGCAGCCACGCGCGCGCCUGGCGCUGUGGGAAGCGGUUGCGGGGAGCCGGGCUGCCUCAGCGCCGCUCGCCUCGACGGAGCCCCCCGACCCGCCGCGGCUCCCGCAGCGCCCGCCCUCCGCCGCUAGAGGCUGCUGCACACCUCGUUAAACCGACGCGGCCGUUCGCGGCGGAUCCCGACGGUAGGUGCGGCGCGGGUGGGCGCUCCGAGGGCAGCGGGGCGGGGCGUUCUGCUCCCGGCGGGGGGCGGCCCUGAGGCGGGGGGGAUCCUGGCGCGUCGGCUUUGCUCCAACGCCUGAAGGGACGCUCCCCGACGGGGCGGUGUUGCGCGCCGCACAGAUGCGCGAACGUCUGUAAAAGUAGAUAAGUUACGGCCCCACGUAAACAUGUUUGCAAAGGAGUCCUGGGGAUCCCGAGGUAAAGCAUUGUGAGAAAUCCUUUGUCUGAGAGGAACCGCGGUUCUCGGGCAGCACCGCACGGCCUCGCGACGGGAGCCCAAGCCGAGGCCGGGAGCACCGCGCGGCUCGCAGCGCUGCGCGCUCUGUUCGGGCUGCUGCAGAACGUUGCGCACGUGCCCUCAGCUGUUGUGUGCGCGGAGCUUCGGGCUGCGCCGUGACGGAGCGCUGUACAAGCCCAGCGCUUAUGCUAAGUAAAUAUCAGCAUUUUCACCGGCCUCCUUCCUCCCCUCCGCAAAGCGCAGGCUUGCUUUCCUCUCCCCUCCCCCUUUUGCCAGCAACUUGAUCUUAUUAGGCUGCAGAGUUAUAGGUUUGUUGUAAAUCUGGACCACGGAGAGCCCGUAGCAGCCAGGCUCGUGUUUUCAUUUCUGUAUCUUUCAUUGGCGACGUCGGUUCAGGGUUUGGGUCUUUUUUAAUUAUAGGGUUAUUUUGUUUUGUCAACAUCCAUCACACAGUGCACAGUGUUAUUUAAAACCAUCUACAGCAGUGGGCUGACCACGCUGUGUAAAGGAGUAGUACCUUAAUGCCCGUAUCCGGUGUCCCUCUGCCGCUGAGUUAGGAUCAGUGUUGGCAUCCUCUGCCCUGCAGAAGGGCAGGGAGCCAGCUGCACCCAUCUGCAUCCCCAGGAUCCCACUGUGUUCACACAGUGCUCUGUGAGCACUUCACCUAACCAGCGCUGCCAUGGGCAUUCAAAGCUGCCAACGAGUGAAGAUGAUGGGGCACUGUCAGCCUUCCCGUGGGCUGCGUGUUAGGCAGCACUGCUGCUCUGCCUUUUAGUAAUUUUAUGGACCUGAUAUUUUAAGGCACCGAAGGGAACGAUGAUGUUCAUUCGACAUGUGAGAUUAUAAAACGGUGAAGUGUUUGUUUGCAUGGCCUGGGUUGGUAAUGCCUGUUUUAGAGAGCUUGUUGUUUUAUUGCCAGCUUUCUGGUGGGGAAGAGAGGAAACAGAAACCGCAGAAUUAUUAUCAUUUAUUUUGUUGCAGUUAGGUUUUUAUGAAGAUAGGGGUACAGAUGGAUAUAUAGAUAUGCACAAGCAACUGUAAAUGUAAGAUGAAAAUAGAUCUCCUUCCCGAGCCGAAUUCUUGCCGCUCUUUGCAUCCUUUCCAGAGAUGUUUUUCUACUGAAGAACAUCAGCGAUUUGCUUUAAUGAAGUAUAAAAAGCAUGCAGUGGUGCGAGGGAGUCUUGUGGGUGGAGAUGAAUAGAUGGGCCUUGCAGGCAGCGCGAGUUCUGUUCCGCUUUCACUGAUGCAGUCCUGGAGGUUUUGCACCCAUGAAGAGCUGUGGAGGUACUCAGGUGUUGGGAAUGGGAUAUCCCAGGCUGGGUUAUGUGGUAGAAGCAAUGCAUGCAAGUGUAUAUAUCUGCAUCUGGUUGCACAGCACAUCCAGGAAGAAGUAAAAAGGUUCUGCUGACUGCCAUGCAUACGGUGUGUUUCCUGUAGAGCAAAGUGGCCGUGCAGUUGUUUGCUGCCAUGGGAGCCCAUCUCCAUUUGCUGUGUAUCGUUUGAGAGAGGAAGUUAAAAUCUGCCCUUAGGUGUACGCUUGCAUUUGCUGUAGAAACUGAGAAAUCCUACCUGGUGAUGGGCUGCGUGUGUGCAGCUGGGGGCAGAAUGAAGCCCACGGUUGGUAGCAGCCACACAAGUGUCACCUCCAUCCUUUUUUCCUGGGAUAUUUUUCUGCAUGAUGAAACGUUCCCCUUUUUUCCUUUUCCAGAAGGACUCCCUGUAGCAUUUGCUGUGUUUGUCACUCACAGCUGUGGAGUUUCUUCGCUGCUCCAUAAUCAACAGUAAUUCUCCUCAUUUUAUAGUUUUUAAAACAUCCUUGCUCCCCUCUUACCAACUCCGUGGAUGCCGUUAGCGUGCCUUGGGAUUAUCGUAUUUUGUGUACAAAUGCCCUGCUGUUGUAAGCCUCCGCCUUUCUAUGGUGCAGUUGCUAGAAAAAGGAUUAAAAAUUAAAUGCACAUCUUG